AGAGUUGAUCAUGGCUCAGGACGAACGCUGGCGGCGUGCCUAACACAUGCAAGUCGAACGGGGAUUUGUUUCGGCAGAAUCCUAGUGGCGAACGGGUGAGUAACGCGUAGGCAACCUGCCCUCCGGCCGGGGACAACACUCCGAAAGGGGUGCUAAUACCGGAUACGAAGUCUGUGCCGCAUGGUACGGAUUUGAAAGAUGGCCUCUAUUUAUAAGCUAUCGCCGGGGGAUGGGCCUGCGUCCGAUUAGCUGGUUGGUGGGGUAACGGCCUACCAAGGCGACGAUCGGUAGCCGGUCUGAGAGGAUGAACGGCCACAUUGGGACUGAGACACGGCCCAGACUCCUACGGGAGGCAGCAGUGGGGAAUCUUCCGCAAUGGGCGCAAGCCUGACGGAGCAACGCCGCGUGAGUGAGGAAGUUCUUCGGAACGUAAAGCUCUGUUGUUCCUGACGAACCUCCCUUCUAUCAACAACGGAGGGGACUGACGGUAGGGAACGAGGAAGCCACGGCUAACUACGUGCCAGCAGCUGC
rnacentral:rRNA from 1 species